rnacentral:lncRNA from 1 species
UCCCUGGGUCCUGGGAGGCUGGCUCCUAGGGACUGAGUUACCUGGGAUCCUAAACGCCACUUAGCUUGACCUCAGCAAGUACCAACAGAAAGUACCAGGGCAGGAAGGGAGAGGGUUGGGGUAUUUCUUCCCUGUCACUUUCCUAUGUGGGCCACUGUUCUGCCGCUGGCUGGGUCCCUUCUAUACUCAGUCCCCACAGGGUAGUCCCUCCUUCACGCUUGCGGCCCUCACUGGAUUCCAAUGACAGUAGCUUGCCCUACGGCUUACUGCUACUGUUCAACUCUGGACAUCUUGUUCUCCUUCGCUGAAUCCCUUUACAACGCCCACAACUUUCAGUGCCUUCAUUAAAAUGCCUUCAUUUGCACUUUCAGAGUAGAAUCCUGUUUCCUUCUGAAGCCCUUCCUAAUUGAUAUACUUAGGGCCAUCUUCCUUAACACCCCAGACCUGCUGGUUUCGGAGCCAUCGACCUCCUCAUUUCCACCGCAGAGGGCUGGAGGAGAUUCAGAAAAUCAGGGCAGGGCCCAGGAGAAGGUUCUUUCAGAGCAUGGCUUCAGCCUGGUUACUUCUGACACCAGCCAGGAGGAACAGACUUCUUCCCCAUACAGCAGGUACCACCAGAAGUACCUGAGCAAGAUCACCCUCAGCUCCUGCAGCCUCAGGGCACCGGAGUGUCCUGUCCACGGGGCAUUUGUUACGGACAAAGAUUUGUGUGGCCUUUCACUUUGCACGCUGAAGCUUAACCCUGGCUGCAACGGGACGGGGGGCCACCAAGGAAGUCAUUAAGGUUAACUAAGGUAUAGGGUGGUGCCCUGGUUGACAGGAUGGUGGCCUUAUGAGGACACUUACAAGAUGGACGCCCACUUGUCCCCCGACCCCUCUGGCACAGGAACUGAGGAAGAGUCACAAGAGGACACAGCAGAUGUUGGUCACCUGCAGGCUAGGAAGAAAGCCCUCCCCAGGAACCUGGGUCUUGGGGACUUCCAGCCUCCACUGUGGGAAAGAAAUGCGUGUUGAUCAGUCCACCCAGUCUAUGGUGUUUUGUAACGGUGGCCAGAGCAGACAAAGACAGUAUGAAAACAUAACUUCUCCCCACACGCUGAAGUUAUAACAGCAAUGCUUUCAACAAAUUGGGCAACGCUUUUGUGGUUCCCACUGGGCGAGUGUUGAAGCUUACAAAACACAAAGGCAUUUUUGAACGUCUGGUCUUUGAGGUAUAAUUUCUAUUCAGCAAAUUCACCACUUCAGGAUGGAUGGUUCUGUGAAUUCUGAUGAAUGUAAAUGGCUGUGACCAGACAUAGAACUUUGGCCGAAUGUGGUGCCUCAUGC